rnacentral:rRNA from 1 species
GAUCAUGGCUCAGGAUGAACGCUAGCGGCAGGCUAACACAUGCAAGUCGAGGGGCAGCGGGAUGUAGCAAUACAUUGCCGGCGACCGGCGGAUGGGUGCGUAACGCGUAUGCAACCUACCUUAUACAGGGGAAUAACCUUUCGAAAGGGAGACUAACACCCCAUAGUAUUGAUUUAAGGCAUCUUAGAUUAAUUAAAUAUUUAUAGGUAUAAGAUGGGCAUGCGUAUGAUUAGCUAGUUGGUAAGGUAACGGCUUACCAAGGCGACGAUCAUUAGGGGUUCUGAGAGGAAGGUCCCCCACACUGGUACUGAGACACGGACCAGACUCCUACGGGAGGCAGCAGUGAGGAAUAUUGGUCAAUGGGCGCAAGCCUGAACCAGCCAUGCCGCGUGCAAGGAAGACGGCCUUAUGGGUUGUAAACUGCUUUUACAUAAGACUAACCGUAUAUUUGCGAAUAUACCUGAAUGUAUUAUGAGAAUAAGGAUCGGCUAACUCCGUGCCAGCCGCCGC